rnacentral:rRNA from 1 species
CACACCUACGGGAGGCAGCAGUGAGGAAUAUUGGUCAAUGGGCGGAAGCCUGAACCAGCCAAGUCGCGUGAGGGAUUAAGGCCCUAUGGGUCGUAAACCUCUUUUGUCAGGGAGCAAUGGCGUCCACGUGUGGGCGUAUGGAGAGUACCUGAAGGAAAAGCAUCGGCUAACUCCGUGCCAGCAGCCGCGGUAAUACGGAGGAUGCGAGCGUUAUCCGGAUUUAUUGGGUUUAAAGGGUGCGCAGGCGGGCUGUUAAGCCGGCGGUAAAAAUUCAUGGCUCAACCC